rnacentral:lncRNA from 1 species
ACUGUAGGCUGCAGCGUUUAUGAAUCACUUGACCAUCCCCCCAGCAAACCAGCGAAAACCAUACUUUAAAUCCUCAAAAGCUAAGCCAAAAAGGGGUUCGCUUUGGUUUGGUUCGUUUUUCGUCUAUUCCUUGUGAUCCUUGCUAAACGGCUUAAAAGGCUCAAAUGUUCCUGAGGCUUUCUUUGCUAAGGAAACAGGGUGGCUGUUGCUAAAUGGUCGCGCGGUUGCCAAGAAGGUGUUAAGUCUACACACGCACAAGCACACACACACACACACACGGACGGACACACUCAGCGUUAUGCUUUGACUCAUUCAAUGGCCAGCAAUUUGCAUAAUUAACUUUUGGUUUCUUCUCUCUCUCUCUCUCUCUUUCUUUCAUUGUCGUUUGAUGAUUCGUAAAUUUGUUUUUGUUAAUUUUUAAUUUUUUAAACGCGAGCAAGCUUUUGCCUGAAAGUGAGUCCGUCGUGUUCGUGUUGGAGACUCAGAUCCAUCCGCGCCGCGAUUGGGUGUCUCUGUU